rnacentral:rRNA from 1 species
AAUCCUACGGGAGGCAGCAGUAAGGGAUAUUGGUCAAUGGGGGAAACCCUGAACCAGCAACGCCGCGUGAGGGAAGACGGUUUUCGGAUUGUAAACCUCUGUCCUCUGUGAAGAUGAUGACGGUAGCAGAGGAGGAAGCCACGGCUAACUACGUGCCAGCAGCCGCGGUAAUACGUAGGUGGCGAGCGUUGUCCGGAUUUACUGGGCGUAAAGGGAGCGUAGGCGGACUUUUAAGUGAGAUGUGAAAUACUCGGGCUCAACUUGAGUGCUGCAUUUCAAACUGGAAGUCUAGAGUGCAGGAGAGG